rfam:Picea glauca, whole genome shotgun sequence.
UCUGGUGUCCCAGGCGUAGAGGAACCACACCAACCCAUCCCGAACUUGGUGGUUAAACUCUACUGUGGUGACGAUACUAUAGGGGAAUCCCUAUGGGAAAAUAGCUCGGUGCUAGGA